CCACACGCGGCUAUUAGAGCGCUUGAAAUGUGGCUGGUGUGACUGAGGAACUGAGUUUUUAAUUUCAUCUGGUUUGAGUGAUUUAAAUGUAAACAGCCACAUGUGGCUGGUGGGUUCACUCUUGGACUGUGGGACCUGGGACUCUGAACCCCUGCUUUGUCCAUCCUUGUUUCCCCACACCAAGGGGAGCGCCUGGCAGACGAUACACUGCACCGUGAGGACCUUGUCUUACUUCUCUCCUUCCUGCCCUUUGUUGGUCCUGGAGAUCCAGAAGCUUAGUCAGGUCACCCGUGGUGGACAGGCUUCAGCAGAGCUUCCAGACCAAGACGGGCUAGGAGAAAGGACCUGGCCACCCACUUCUGAGAAGAUCAGCCAUGAAAACCCUGUGAAUAGCAGUGGAGCAUUGUCUGACAGAGCACCGCAAGUCUGAACUCCAAGUGCCACAAGAACAGUGUCUUCUCAGGAUGCUCCCCAAUGCAUCUCAACGCAGGUGAACAAAAGCUGGCGCCGCCUGCUCAGCAAGUCGUCACCUGAUCCGGUCUGAACCUCAGUCAGGGCCCCAGGACACACACAGCAAGCCCGUCUCACAGAAGAAGACCAACCGAGGCUCAGAGAGCAAAGGGACUCGUCCGGGGCCCCACAGCUGUGGGAUCCCAAGCCAGGCGCUUCCGGAUGUGUUUGUACCCAUUGAAGGAGCAGCUCUCAGCCUUGACUCAAGCACGUUAGAGCCAAUUGCAGGGCUUCAGGAAAUAGGGGGUGCCUCUGGACCUCCAGAAACUCACAUUUGAUUCAUCUGGAAUGGGGGGCAUCCUAUAGGCUCCCCAGGGAAUUAUUGCGUUCAGCCAGGGAUUAAAAUCUUGAUGCUCAAAGUGGGUCCCUGGACCAGCAGCUCUCCACCAGCGGGAGGCUUGCUGGAAAUGCAGAGUCUCAGACGCCACCCCGAC
rnacentral:lncRNA from 1 species